AGACAGUGCUACCAACAGUCUGUGCAUCUUCAAGAUCGACGACGCGUUAAAAAGGACUCUGAUUUCGAACUACCUGAACAUGUUUCGCUACACGCUGCUUGUUGCCUUAAUCCUUUCGAUGAAUGCAUUGGGCUGGACAAAUGGAGUCGCACUUGACGACGCAUGUACCGUUGCUACAGAUUGUACCGCCACCACUCUAAACUCGGAC